rnacentral:rRNA from 1 species
GGUUAAGCGACUAAGCGUACACGGUGGAUGCCCUGGCAGUCAGAGGCGAUGAAGGACGUGCUAAUCUGCGAUAAGCGUCGGUAAGGUGAUAUGAACCGUUAUAACCGGCGAUUUCCGAAUGGGGAAACCCAGUGUGUUUCGACACACUAUCAUUAACUGAAUCCAUAGGUUAAUGAGGCGAACCGGGGGAACUGAAACAUCUAAGUACCCCGAGGAAAAGAAAUCAACCGAGAUUCCCCCAGUAGCGGCGAGCGAACGGGGAGCAGCCCAGAGCCUGAAUCAGUNNNNNNNNNNNNNNNNNNNNNNNNNNNNNNNNNNNNNNNNNNNNNNNNNNCCCGUACACAAAAAUGCACAUAUUGUGAGCUCGAUGAGUAGGGCGGGACACGUGGUAUCCUGUCUGAAUAUGGGGGGACCAUCCUCCAAGGCUAAAUACUCCUGACUGACCGAUAGUGAACCAGUACCGUGAGGGAAAGGCGAAAAGAACCCCGGCGAGGGGAGUGAAAAAGAACCUGAAACCGUGUACGUACAAGCAGUGGGAGCACGCUUAGGCGUGUGACUGCGUACCUUUUGUAUAAUGGGUCAGCGACUUAUAUUCUGUAGCAAGGUUAACCGAAUAGGGGAGCCGAAGGGAAACCGAGUCUUAACUGGGCGUUAAGUUGCAGGGUAUAGACCCGAAACCCGGUGAUCUAGCCAUGGGCAGGUUGAAGGUUGGGUAACACUAACUGGAGGACCGAACCGACUAAUGUUGAAAAAUUAGCGGAUGACUUGUGGCUGGGGGUGAAAGGCCAAUCAAACCGGGAGAUAGCUGGUUCUCCCCGAAAGCUAUUUAGGUAGCGCCUCGUGAAUUCAUCUCCGGGGGUAGAGCACUGUUUCGGCAAGGGGGUCAUCCCGACUUACCAACCCGAUGCAAACUGCGAAUACCGGAGAAUGUUAUCACGGGAGACACACGGCGGGUGCUAACGUCCGUCGUGAAGAGGGAAACAACCCAGACCGCCAGCUAAGGUCCCAAAGUCAUGGUUAAGUGGGAAACGAUGUGGGAAGGCCCAGACAGCCAGGAUGUUGGCUUAGAAGCAGCCAUCAUUUAAAGAAAGCGUAAUAGCUCACUGGUCGAGUCGGCCUGCGCGGAAGAUGUAACGGGGCUAAACCAUGCACCGAAGCUGCGGCAGCGACACUAUGUGUUGUUGGGUAGGGGAGCGUUCUGUAAGCCUGUGAAGGUGUGCUGUGAGGCAUGCUGGAGGUAUCAGAAGUGCGAAUGCUGACAUAAGUAACGAUAAAGCGGGUGAAAAGCCCGCUCGCCGGAAGACCAAGGGUUCCUGUCCAACGUUAAUCGGGGCAGGGUGAGUCGACCCCUAAGGCGAGGCCGAAAGGCGUAGUCGAUGGGAAACAGGUUAAUAUUCCUGUACUUGGUGUUACUGCGAAGGGGGGACGGAGAAGGCUAUGUUGGCCGGGCGACGGUUGUCCCGGUUUAAGCGUGUAGGCUGGUUUUCCAGGCAAAUCCGGAAAAUCAAGGCUGAGGCGUGAUGACGAGGCACUACGGUGCUGAAGCAACAAAUGCCCUGCUUCCAGGAAAAGCCUCUAAGCAUCAGGUAACAUCAAAUCGUACCCCAAACCGACACAGGUGGUCAGGUAGAGAAUACCAAGGCGCUUGAGAGAACUCGGGUGAAGGAACUAGGCAAAAUGGUGCCGUAACUUCGGGAGAAGGCACGCUGAUAUGUAGGUGAAGUCCCUCGCGGAUGGAGCUGAAAUCAGUCGAAGAUACCAGCUGGCUGCAACUGUUUAUUAAAAACACAGCACUGUGCAAACACGAAAGUGGACGUAUACGGUGUGACGCCUGCCCGGUGCCGGAAGGUUAAUUGAUGGGGUUAGCCGCAAGGCGAAGCUCUUGAUCGAAGCCCCGGUAAACGGCGGCCGUAACUAUAACGGUCCUAAGGUAGCGAAAUUCCUUGUCGGGUAAGUUCCGACCUGCACGAAUGGCGUAAUGAUGGCCAGGCUGUCUCCACCCGAGACUCAGUGAAAUUGAACUCGCUGUGAAGAUGCAGUGUACCCGCGGCAAGACGGAAAGACCCCGUGAACCUUUACUAUAGCUUGACACUGAACAUUGAGCCUUGAUGUGUAGGAUAGGUGGGAGGCUUUGAAGUGUGGACGCCAGUCUGCAUGGAGCCGACCUUGAAAUACCACCCUUUAAUGUUUGAUGUUCUAACGUUGACCCGUAAUCCGGGUUGCGGACAGUGUCUGGUGGGUAGUUUGACUGGGGCGGUCUCCUCCUAAAGAGUAACGGAGGAGCACGAAGGUUGGCUAAUCCUGGUCGGACAUCAGGAGGUUAGUGCAAUGGCAUAAGCCAGCUUGACUGCGAGCGUGACGGCGCGAGCAGGUGCGAAAGCAGGUCAUAGUGAUCCGGUGGUUCUGAAUGGAAGGGCCAUCGCUCAACGGAUAAAAGGUACUCCGGGGAUAACAGGCUGAUACCGCCCAAGAGUUCAUAUCGACGGCGGUGUUUGGCACCUCGAUGUCGGCUCAUCACAUCCUGGGGCUGAAGUAGGUCCCAAGGGUAUGGCUGUUCGCCAUUUAAAGUGGUACGCGAGCUGGGUUUAGAACGUCGUGAGACAGUUCGGUCCCUAUCUGCCGUGGGCGCUGGAGAACUGAGGGGGGCUGCUCCUAGUACGAGAGGACCGGAGUGGACGCAUCACUGGUGUUCGGGUUGUCAUGCCAAUGGCACUGCCCGGUAGCUAAAUGCGGAAGAGAUAAGUGCUGAAAGCAUCUAAGCACGAAACUUGCCCCGAGAUGAGUUCUCCCUGACUCCUUGAGAGUCCUGAAGGAACGUUGAAGACGACGACGUUGAUAGGCCGGGUGUGUAAGCGCAGCGAUGCGUUGAGCUAACCGGUACUAAUGAACCGUGAGGCUUAACCUU